rnacentral:lncRNA from 1 species
GCAAAUACACCCACUGAUCCAAAUGUCAAUUACGAAGACUUUAUAGGAUUUCCUUGUUAUCGUUCAUGAACUUCUGUGAUAAAUACAAGCCCUCAUAGCUUGCCAAAACCAUCAAACAUUCACUCGCGAGAACGAUAACAAACACACCGGAGGCAAACGGAGCUUACGCCGGAAAACCACCAAAGCCGCCGGAACUGUGACGGAGCCAUGAUACGUUUCGUAUGUAACAGCCUGCGCAUGUCUCCAUUCGAUGAAGAUGAUAUAGUUUGGUUCGGGUUCACAUCAUUUUGUUUCCGUCGUUAGGUAUACAUGGAGCUUGCAUGGGGAGGCGCGGUCGUUGUGGACAAGGAUCG